rnacentral:rRNA from 1 species
AACGAACGCUGGCGGCGUGCCUAACACAUGCAAGUCGAGCGGGAAAGUUCCCUUCGGGGAGCGAGUACAGCGGCGCACGGGUGAGUAACACGUAGGUAACCUGCCCCUAAGCCUAGGAUAACCUGUCGAAAGAUGGGCUAAUACUGGAUAAGGCCACGAACCCCUCGGGGUGCGCGGCAAAAGGUGGCCUCUGCUUGCAAGCUACCACUUAAGGAUGGGCCUGCGCGCCAUUAGCUAGUUGGUGGGGUAAUGGCCUACCAAGGCAAAGAUGGCUAGCUGGUCUGAGAGGAUGACCAGCCACACUGGGACUGAGACACGGCCCAGACUCCUACGGGUGGCUG